GGUUAUGGCUCAGUGGUAGGGCCUUUGCCUAGCAUGCACAAGGCACUGUGUUUGAUCCCCAGACCA
rnacentral:tRNA from 1 species